ACGAACGCUGGCGGCGUGCUUAACACAUGCAAGUCGAACGGUGAAGCGCCUUCCUUUUUGGUGGGUGUGGAUGAGUGGCGAACGGGUGAGUAACACGUGAGUAACCUGCCCCCUUCUUCUGGAUAACCGCAUGAAAGUGUGGCUAAUACGGGAUAUUCUGGGUCUGUCGCAUGAUGGGUCUGGGCAAGAUAUUGUUUCGGUGGGGGAUGGGCUCGCGGCCUAUCAGCUUGGUGGUGGGGUGAUGGCCUACCAAGGCGGUGACGGGUAGCCGGCCUGGGUGGGUGGACGGUCACACUGGGGCGGAGCGGCGGCCCAGACUCCUACGGGAGGCAGCAGUGGGGAAUAUUGCACAAUGGGCGGAAGCCUGAUGCAGCGACGCCGCGUGGGGGAUGGAGGCCUUCGGGUUGUGAACCUCUUUCGCCAGUGAAGCAGGCCUGCCUCGUUUGUGGGUGGGUUGACGGUAGCUGGAUAAGAAGCGCCGGCUAACUACGUG
rnacentral:rRNA from 1 species